UAAUACCGGAUGACGCAUAUGUGCUGGAAUGCUUUAUGCGUAAAACGGAUUCGUCCGCCCAAGGAUGGGUCUGCGGCCUAUCAGGUAGUAGUGGGUGUAAUGUACCUACUAGCCAACAACGGGUACGGGUUGUGAGAGCAAGAGCCCGGAGAUGGAUUCUGAGACAUGAAUCCAGGCCCUACGGGGCGCAGCAGGCGCGAAAACUUUACAAUGCGGGAAACCGUGAUAAGGGAACACCGAGUGCCAGCAUCAUAUGCUGGCUGUCCAGAUGUGUAAACUACAUCUGUUAGCAAGGGCCGGGCAAGACCGGUGCCAGCCGCCGCGGUAACGCCGGCGGCCCGAGUGGUGACCGUUAUUAUUGGGUCUAAAGGGUCCGUAGCCGGUUUGGUCAGUCCUCCGGGAAAUCUGAUAGCUUAACUGUUAGGCUUUCGGGGGAUACUGCCAGGCUUGGAACCGGGAGAGGUAAGAGGUACUACAGGGGUAGGAGUGAAAUCUUGUAAUCCCUGUGAGACCACCUGUGGCGAAGGCGUCUUACCAGAACGGGUUCGACGGUGAGGGACGAAAGCUGGGGGCACGAACCGGAUUAGAUACCCGGUAGUCCCAGCCGUAAACUAUGCUCGCUAGGUGU
rnacentral:rRNA from 1 species